UUCCCAGUUAAAAGAUUGUUAGUCAUUCUUGUUAUAUUUAUUAUAUCGGUUGCUGAUGUUCAUUUAGUUCUCCGAUACCAGAAGAAGUUCUGCUUUGAUGUUACAGACGCUCGUAAUUUUUAUUUUUAUUUAUUUAUUUUACAUUUAUUCAGUUUCCGUUUUGUAAAUAUACUUUUGUUUUGGUGAAACUGUUUGCAUUACUUAUCCAGAGAAAAGAAAAGUAACUUUCCUCUUGGUCCGUUUAAUUGCUUUUGAUGGGAAUUCUGUCUUUAGAUUGAGAUGGAAAAUCAGUUCUUUACUUCUUUGGACUUGUCUGAGUUUCAUUUUUAAUGAUAUACGCAAGUGUCCUUCACCUGACACUCUUUGGUAGAACGACUUUAACAAAUUGUUAACCAUGCAUUUACCAUCCAUGAAGAUGGGUGUCACUUGACUUAUUUUGAAGCUAUUAUCGCUUUUGUCGAAUUAUGAUUAAUAUUUGAGCUUUUGGGUUGAUUCUAACAACCAAGUUAUAACUAAUAUGUCAUUUAUCUAAUUGAAGAUUGCAGACAGAUAUAAUUUCUUAAUCUUUGAAGAUCGUAAGUUUGCAGACAUUGGUAAUACAAUAACAAUGCAGUAUGAAGGCGGUAUCUUUCAUAUAUUGGAUUGGGCUGAUAUAAUUAAUGCUCACAUAAUCUCUGGUCCUGGGAUAGUUGACGGAUUGAAAUUGAAGGGUUUGCCUCGUGGUAGGGGCCUGUUGCUGCUUGCCGAAAUGAACUGAGCUGGUAACCUUGCUAAAGGUGACUAUACAGCUG